rnacentral:lncRNA from 1 species
CGUUAUACUGUUCCUGGGUGGCCCCCACUUGUCGCCUCUGAGCAAGCGGCGCCAGGAAUGCCCGCCUUCCAUUCUUCGUCUUGGCGCAGAAGAUUGGAGCUCUCUCUCUCUCUCUCUCUACCCUGGUUUUCAUCUCAUGAGAGAAGAUGUAUUCCUGUUCGGCUCCUGUGCCCCGCCAGGCCUUCAAGCCCAGACCCGCCCAUCCCCUGCUCCGCUCUUCCGCGAGAGCGGCCCAGACCCACCAUCCCCGACGGCGCCGCCGGGGAUUAGCUUCCGGCGGCGGCGCCGCCAGUGAGGGUUCUCAUGCCACCCAAUGGCAGCGGGAGCUCCGACAAUCCGUCGACGACGAGCGGCACUCUCUCCUCCUCAACAGCAGCAGCAGAGGAGAAGCCCUCAAGUCCAGAGUCAUCUCCCUCCCCAUUC